UUUGCGAUAGGCAUUACACAAUAUUUGUGAUAAAAAUUUAUCACUCCCCCGGGAGUGAUAAAUCAAGGGAAUCACUCCGGGCAUUUUAUCACACGAAAAUGUGUGAAAAGUAUCACACUUUGAAUUACAGUGUACUAAAACCUUUUCUUUCGUCUGUUACAGCGGGCCCGCGCAUGCUUCCUUUCCCAGAGACAAUUUUUUGUGGAAAACACGCGGAAUUGACGUGUGUCGACACGUUCCGAUCGGAACGUGGAAAACACGAGAUAAAUUCACGUGAUAUCCACGUGAAUUUGACUAUCUCAUCCACGAUUUAUCGACGUGUUGAUCACGUCGAUUCAACGUGACGUCGACGCAAAUGUCUCCACGCACAAACGUGCACUGCAAAAAAUUAGAGUCUGAUACGGAACGAUCUACAGCGUUACUGUAGAUGCCGCUCUUAAGUCACUGCACCUAGGGUACAGAGCGCGGAGUACAGUGUUGCUGUAGCACCGGAAAGCCCACGUUUUACACGAAACAGUGUACGAAUACGGCUCCACUGUAGACAGUUUUGUCCGGUGUUGCCUGUACAGUGGUCCUGUACAUUGCUCCCUGUACCAGGUUUUAACCAAUACAACUACAGCGAUGCUGUUAUCCGAAUAACAGACGUUCCUGGAAAAUAAUUAGCGGUCGAAUGAUGUAAUUUUUCCUGUCAUAAUCUUUUGCAGUGCACUGCAAAAAAAUUAGAGUCUGAUACGGAACGGUCUACAGCAUUACUGUAGAUGCCGCUCUUAGUCACUGCACCUAGGGUACAGAGCGCGGAGUACGGUGUUGCUGUAGCACCGGAAAGCCCACGUUUUACACGGUACAGUGUACGAGUACGGCUCCACUGUAGACAGUUUAGUCCGGUGUUGCCUGUACAGUGGUCCUGUACAUUGCUCCCUGUACUAGAUUUUAACCAUUAAAACUACAGCGAUGCUGUUAUUCGAGUAACAGACGUUCCUGGAAUAAUUAGCGGCAAUGCUAUAAUUUUUCCCGUCAUAAUUUUUUGCAGUGAACCUACUAGGGCUGCCUGGAACUGCCGGAACACCCUCAUUGACCAUUAACAUUUUUGGUCCACUUGAUGACAAUGCAAGACAAGUAAUUGAUAGGGUGCUGCCUCUACCAGGUGGGGGAGGACCUGUUAGAACUACUCGCGCAGUAUGGGAGGCGUCGCCUUACACUCCAUCAGCAAGGAGCGGACGGGGACGUCCUCGCACUGAGGAAGUUGUGGCGAAUGAGUUGCGGGCCAAGGGGUUUGUGACUGAAAUCCAAACCCAACCUGCACAUCAAGGCCAGGCCCCCACGUCCACGUUAACUCCCCCAGCCUCACCCGACCAGGAGAAUAGCAGAACCUGUCCGGCUUGCAGGGGGCUGCAGAAAGACUGCUCACUUAUGGCCACCACCUCCUGUGUGCAGAAUGCAAAAGGAGACUUCAUGGUUGCCGUUCGCCGAGGUGCCGGCGCAUAAUUUUGGAAAAUGGUUUCAUUUUAUUUAAAUUCGAUUAGUGCAGCUUUAGCCUACUGCGCCUUAUGUUUUCUGAUCGUUCGUGUGGACUUCGUUCCUUUUGUACAAAUAUACAUUUGCUCAAUAUUUGUAUGUUUUAUCUCGGAAGCAAGUUUUCUUGCUGAUGAUUAAGUCUUGGUGAAGCCAGUGAAGCUGAUGCGACGAGGUGACUUUUGCUUCACUGACAUUAUAGUCUAAAUCCAUCAUAUAAGCUGGUGUUCCUUUCUAUCAUUUUUGCUGUAAUGUGUACUAACUAAGGGAAGUUUUCUAAAAUGUUCUUCUUCGUAAUUUCAAUGUGAGUUUUGUUAGUUUUCUUAGCUAGCAAUUAUUUGUAGUCUUUACUACUUCUGUUGAAUGUUUUUCACUUCUUUGCCUUUGAAGCUGAAGCCGUCUUAUUAUUUGCUUUGUGGUAAUCUGGUUGGUUGAAUGAGAACAAAAGCUACCUUGAAGCUGAUUUCAGCCAACAAGAUUACCCCAAAGCAAAUGAUAAGCUGGCUUUAGCUUUGCUGGCUGGUUGAGUAAAGAUUACAUAAUGUAGUUUGUUAAAAUUUUGCUACUUUUAAGAAGAGUAUGUAUAGCCUAUCCCUUGGUUGUUCUUUCUUAACCAACUUGGUGGCCUUGUAACUGUUUAAGUUAUAAGUUUGCUUGCUGAUGAUUUAGUCUUGGUGAAGCUAGUGAAGCUGAUGCGAUGAGGUGAGUUCAGCUUCACUGGCCUGAAAGUCUUAAUCCAUCAUGAGCUGGUAUUCCUUUUUAUCAUUUUUGCUGUAAUGUGUACUGUUUGUGAAAUGUUCUUGUUCUUAAUUUCAAUUUGAGCUUUGUUAGUUUUCUUAUCUAGCAAUUAUUUGUAGUCUUUGCUACUUCUGCUUUCUAUUAUGUACAGUACCUGACUGUAUUUUGUGAAUUUGCCAAAAAUACUUCUGACUCUAAUUGUUUGGAUUCCUUCCUCUGCGCUCUCUUAACAGCCCUACCAACAUUAGAAGGAAUGUGUUUUGAUUUAACUUGGACUCCUGGAAAGAAGCUAGGGUUCUCAGGGUUUUUUUAAUGCAGUGCAAACAGAUGGGCAAAGCAAUGUAAGAGUUUGUGUCUUUGUUUAGCAGUUUUAACAGGAGAAUCAAAUAGUAAAAACAAAGAACUUGGUCCACUUGGAAAGUUCUAUGGUAUAAUCUUUCUCGAAAGACAAGAUGUUUUGUUCUCUUGCUAACUAAAUUGUCUGUAAAGGCACAGUGAAAGAGCUAUUAACAUCUAAUUUUUUUUGUAAUCAAUUGAUUGGAGACUCUAUGCUAAUAGUCUUCUAGCUGUGUAAUAUUUCUGUGCCUGGUGCAAAAUUUUGACUUUUUCUGUUUCAAAAUAUUUCUGAGAGAAGGUCAUCAGCUUCGGAGUCCUUGACGUGAAAGAUGGAAAAGUUGUGACCUCGACACCUGAAUGGGUCGCAGAAUUAUCUAGCUUGGUCUACCUAUAUGAAUGCUAUUUUCAUUGAGGAGAAGUUAUGGAAAACAGUGCGAGGACUUGAGAAUGAUCCUGAGAAGAAUGAUAGAGCUUUCUUUAAAAUAUACCUCAAUAUUAAGGAACAUGUAUUCAAUGUCCUUGUUGGGUGUGAUUCUGCCAAGCAGAUUUGGGAUAAACUUGAGAAGCACUACAAUGAAUCAGGUUUGGUGAUGAGGUGCUCGCUUCUACGUUAAUGAUUCACUGCAACCCUUGAACAUUUUGGGUCAAUGGAAGAGUACAUUCAUUAUGCAAUGAAUUUACAACAGAAACUGUGUGCAAUGAAGGAGGGCCUUGAUGAUAAGUUUCUAGCAGUUGUGCUGCUGUCAGGAUUAACGGAGGAUUACAAGCCUUCAGUUAUGGCUUUGGACAACUCCGUUCCUGCUACAGAUCUGACAUCCGACGGCCCUGUCUUCUUUCUCCGCGUCACCUUCCUCAAACGAGUCGUAAAUAAUGAACGGCUCUCCGGCAAGCUUCAACUGGGUAUCUAGUAGAAUUGAAUAAAAGAUACACUCGAUGCCUCUUAAACACAAAGUUCGAUCUGGAGCGGCACGGUUACGCAAAGUUCGAUCUACAUUCCGGCGGUUUCUGCAGAGCAGACUCAAUGUAUUCAUAUGCUCGUCAAUAUUGCAGAUAGAAAAAAGGUAAAAACUGCUCCAAGUCUGUAAAAGAUCGUAGAACAACAUACUCUAGAGAAAAAAUGGAUGCUACUGCAACAAGACUGUAGUACAGAUCUAAACUUGCGUAUCCCGCGAGCGGCGAAAAGCAGAUCGAACUAUGUGUAAGCGUGUCGCUGCACAUCGGACUUUGUGUAACCGUGCCGCUGCAGAUCGAACUUUGUCUUUAGGAGGCAUCGCACUGUUCUAGCAAUAUUCGUUCAUUUGGUGUCUGCGUCUACCCACUGGUCUGCCAAGGGAAAUAACCCCCACUGCUAUCAGGAAAAUCGGGGACAAGGCCACUUCGCAGUUAGCGUUUGGGCUGAUAGUCGAUGACUUUAUCAUCGGCCCCUUUUUCUGGCCAAAUGUUGUGAACGCGGAGGGUUAUGCGGACUUCCACAACCACGAGUUGGACGGACUUCUUGAGAACCUCCCUCUCGAGGUCAGGAGGGACAUGUGGUUCCAACAGGACGGUCACCCUGCCCAUACCUCCUUGGCAGCAUGAGUCCUAAACCGUGAUUUCUCAAACAGGUGGAUCGGGUUACAUGCCCCUCCAGAGGGGGAGGGCACUGAUUGAGCUCCACAGGUCCCCCGGCCUCACGUCACGUCCUUAGACUUUUUUUACUUUUUAUCAAAAAACAUGUCAGAGGCAUAGUUUGGGAGGUAGAU